rnacentral:rRNA from 1 species
CCUACGGGUGGCAGCAGUGAGGGAUAUUGGUCAAUGGACGAGAGUCUGAACCAGCCAAGUAGCGUGAAGGAUGACUGCCCUAUGGGUUGUAAGCUUCUUUUAUAUGGGAGUAGAACAGAGUAUGCAUACACUCUUGUAUGUCCCAUAUGGAUAAGGAUCGGCUAACUCCGUGCAAGAAGCCGCGGUAAUCCGGAGGGUCCGAGCGUUAUCCGGAUUUAUGGGGUUUAAAGGGAGCGUAGAUGGGUUGUUAAGUCAGUUGUGAAAGUUUGCGGCUAAACCGUAAAAUUGCAAUUGAUACUGGCAGGCUUGAGUACAGGUGAGGUAAGCGGAAUUCGUGGUGUAGCGGUGAAAUGCUUAGAUAUCACGAAGAACCCCGAUGGCGAAGGCAGCUUACUAAACUGUGACUGACAUUGAUGCUCGAAAGUGUGGGUAUCAAACAGGAUUAGAUACCCGGGUAGUC